CUUUGAGCUUCAGUUUCUUGUUGGUUGAUUUUUAUUCACGAAGAGAAGCAUGGGCUCGUGGAAACCUACAAGAAUUUGGAUAGCUGUUUCUUCUAGAUGGGAAGUCACUACAGAACGAGCCAUCAUCCCUCUCCUCAGGCGUUGUGCGGCCGGCCGGACUUGGCACAAGAGGUUAUGCCGUGUCGUAGUGCCGCUCCGGCUCACACGACCUCCACUCCGCAAUCGAACUCAGUUGCAACAUCUUUGUUGCCUCCUUCACAUCACUCAAGGUGGUGUCGCGACAGCGGUAGAUGCAGCUGAUACAGAGAACAUGAGAAAAUGUAGCAUUGGGUAAGCCCUCGCUGCAACCACCUUUGCUUCCUCUCUUCGGUUACAACUUUCAAUUUCUUAAUCCAGGUCAAGGAUCAUCUUGAUUUAACCAGGUUAAAUAGAUGGUAAACUCUAUUUUUGUCCGUGUAAACCUUAGUGCUGGACAAAUUGCAUUACAGCCAUACUGAAAUCUGUGAGAAGAUUUGUUCUACCAUAUUCAGAUAUCAACAGCUGAAGAAAGU